rnacentral:sRNA from 1 species
GGGGAAGGACCAACCACCAGCCCAAAGUCUUGGGGAAGCUGGCGGUGGAAACUGCCUUCCUGGGCACUGUGCUGCUCUCCUCCCCCGAUGUGGGUCAACACCAGGUCUGAGCCCCCCUCUGCCCUCUACUCCCAGGCAAUGUCAAAGCUGGGCUUGCGGCAGAUUCAGGGAGUCACCAGGAUCACCAUCCAGAAGUCCAAGAACAUCCUCUUUGUCAUCGCCAAGCCUGAUGUCUUCAAGAGCCCAGCCUCAGACACUUAUGUGGUCUUUGGCGAGGCCAAGAUUGAGGACCUGUCCCAGCAAGUGCACAAAGCCGCAGCUGAGAA